rfam:Salmo salar isolate Sally breed double haploid chromosome ssa01, whole genome shotgun sequence.
UCCCCUGUGGCUCAGUUGGUAGAGCAUGGUGUUUGCAACGCGAGCAUGGUGUGUGCAACGCCAGGGUUGUGGGUUCGAUUCCCACGGGGGGCC